rnacentral:sRNA from 1 species
UAGAAGUCCAUGAGAUGCAGUUGUGUUC